ACGUCAAAAAUUUUCAUCGAAAAAACGUGUUUUUCUUUAAACAAAUUUUAUCUAAUUAAAAUCAAUAAUUUCUCAAUCAAUAUUAAUAAGAACUACAUGUGCAUGGAUUGCCAGUUGGAUUGAUGUUUGUUUUAAGAAGAAAUUUCUCUCAACUAAGAUAUCCACUCGAGAAAGGUUAUUGCAAUUUGCAGCUUGCAGCAACAUCAUGUUUUAUCAAGUAUUGAACCACACAAAGGAUUAAAUCUUCAUUACAAUAUCAUUCAUAACUCCAUUUAAAUCAAUGGAAACUAAAUAUGGAUCGUUUCAUGGAGUAACAACAUACUUUGUAGUUUGGACCCAAAAUACAAUACACGUAGGUUAAUAUCGAACUUAUAAGGUGUUAAGCUGCAAUUACAAUAAAAGUGCUUGCUAUGGAAUCACCGGUGCUGAUCAUUAUUGUCAACUGUUACUUAAAAUCCAGAUGAACCAACCUUUACUUCCUAUUCUAAUAAGUUUAGAAGAAACCUAUAUAAGCAAUAAAACCAGACCAAGAAUGCUUGAUUACAAACGAUGAACUCAUUUCAUUUGCAAGUUAUGCCAUGACAUAAAUGCAUUAAAUUAGGAAGAUUUGUAUUAGAUGAAUAUUAACUUCUGUUGAUAAGAACAUUUGAUUGGUGGAAUCCAGAUUCUGUGAAUGUACAUGUAAUUGAUUGACAAGUACACAUUUGACAAGGUGGUGAGAAACGUGUAGAUCUGGCCUGCUUACAGUGGCUAUUGGAUUGGACAGAACCAAAGUGAGAGUGAACGUGUGAAUUUAUGGAGAACAUUAAAAACUAUUUUACUAUAAGUCAUAACGCAACUUAUUUUGUAUGAGUUACAUACAAAUGUCAAGCCGUGAGUACAUUAUGUAAAAACUAAAACAAUGUACCUACUGUAAUCACAACAGUAACUGUAAUCUUUUAAAAUCCAAUAGUUUUAAUGCUUAUUGAUUUUCGUAAACAAAAUAUUUCAUGUUAUAUUUCAUCAAUAAAGUUUCAUUUGAUA